CUGCUGCCUCCCGUAGGAGUCUGGUCCGUGUCUCAGUACCAGUGUGGGGGACCUUCCUCUCAGAACCCCUACGCAUCGUCGCCUUGGUGGGCCGUUACCCCGCCAACAAGCUAAUGCGACGCAUGACCAUCCGUAGCCGGAAUCGCUUCCUUUAAACCCGCAGAGAUGCCUCCAUGGGUUGUUACGCGGUAUUAGACGGAAUUUCUUCCGCUUAUCCCCCUGCUACGGGCAGGUUUCAUACGUGUUACUCACCCGUGCGCCGGUCGCCGG
rnacentral:rRNA from 1 species